rnacentral:sRNA from 1 species
UCUUAAAUCCUCUAAGACCUGUAUACUUACAAUGUUAUGACAAGUUGCAUCAUGGGAUAGUGGUGUAAGGUAGAUGUUAUGUAGGCCAUGUUGUUAUUCUGUCUGAUGCAACUCUUUGUAUUGGGUUUAUGAUGCAUUUUGUAAAAAUAUACCUAUAUGUAUAUUAUUGGUGGGUUUAGCACAUUUCUCCCACAUAAAAGAAUGAGCUAUAUUGAUCAGGUAGAUAGAAAACUCAUGUUUAUGUAAAUAGUUUUUGUGGAAUAUUGUGACCAAGUUGAAGUGAACUGAUUUUUUUUUCAAAAAUUAUUUUUUUCUUUGUAUUUACGCUUACCAUGAAAUACAUAAUACUUAUAUACAACUGAUUUUUGGUUAGUCGUAGCAAGCUGUAGAUAGAACUCAAUAAAUGUGAUAUU